UACGUAGGUGACCAGCGUUGUCCGGAUUUACUGGGCGUAAAGAGCACGCAGGCGGUCGUUCAAGUCGAGUGUGAAAGCCCCGGGCUCAACCUGGGAAUGGCGAUGGAUACUGGCUCGCUAGAGUGCGGUAGAGGAGAGUGGAAUUCCCGGUGUAGCAGUGAAAUGCGUAGAGAUCGGGAGGAACAUCAGUUGCGAAGGCGGCUCUCUGGACCAGCACUGACACUGAGGCACGAAAGCGUGGGGAGCAAACAGG
rnacentral:rRNA from 1 species